GGGGAUGUGGCGAAAUUGGCAGACGCGCUAGAUUUAGGUUCUAGUUCCUCACGGAGUGCAGGUUCGAUUCCUGUCAUCCCCAC
rnacentral:tRNA from 1 species